rnacentral:lncRNA from 12 species
AUGCGUGGUCUUCCUCGGCGUCUUCUGGCUCCCAGCGCCCCAGCGCGGCAGCAGCGGAGCCGGGAGCGCGGAGGGCUCAGACGUCCCCGCCGGUCCGCGGGCGCACAAGUUCGGAGUCCGGCGGAGCGUGGAGCAGCAGCCCGGGGAGCGCGGCGGCAGCGGCCGACACGCGGCGGUCACAGCCGAGGCCGCCCCUCCCGCCGCCGCCGCCGCCGCAGAGGAGACGCUGCUGAACGCGCCGAGGAUCUUCCACCAUCCCCCCAGCCGAGCCUUAUAUCCAGCCCUCCCACCCCGCCCCCUCCGCUUUCUUUUUCUUCUUCUUCCUCGUCCUCCCCUGGCCGCCGGGGCGAGCGCGCAGCGGAGUGGGCAGGGGGAGCCGCGAGAGCCCGGGUGGCCGCUCCGCCGCCGCCGCCGCCGCCGCCGCCGCCGCCCGAGCUCCGGUGCCCGCCGAGGGUCUCCUCUCGCGCCCGCAACCUGCGCCGCGGGCCGGGGCGAGGGCCGCGCGGACUCCCUCCCGGGUGCACGGCGGGGGCGCGGGGGUCGCGGAGCCCGGAGCGCGGAGCCCGGGGGCCGGAUCGCUUAGCUCGCCGGCCGCGCCGGGCAGCUGCGGGCAUGUGGGAGCUCCAUCGCGCGGCCCCGAGCUCCGCGCCACCCUCGCCGCCGCCGCCGCCGGUCCGCGGCUUUCUCUUCCGCGACCCUCCGCGAGCGAGCAGGGCUCUGCGCUCUCCGCACAGGCAUUCACAUGCGCGCACACACGAGCGAGCUGCUGCCAAAGCCGACCGUGCAGCCCGCGCGCGCGCACCCGGAGAAAGAGGACGGAGGCAAAAAAAAAAAAAAAAGAAGAAGAAAGAAAGGGGAGGGGGCGAGUCACAGGCGGCGGCAGCUGUCGGAGCGGAGGCAACGCGCAGUCCGGGAAGAGCCGGCGGCGGCGGCGGCGGCGCCCACCCGGCCCAGCGGCCGCAGCUGCAUCCCCGCUCCCGGGAACUGGGGCGAGCGGAGCCCGGCGAGCGGGCGGGCGGGCGGGGCGCGGGGGCCGAGCAGCCUGCGCGCGGAGGACGCCGCCGGGGCCCGAGCCGAGGCCGGAAUGAGCGCGGGGCCGGCGAGCGCCGCGAGCGCCGGGGGCGGGGAGGGGGCCCGGCGGGGGGCCCGGGCGGCGGGGAAAACCCGGAGCCGGAGCGCGCUCGGGCUCGGGCUCGGGCUCGGGCUCGGGCUGGGGCUCGGGCUCCGCCGCGCGGACUCCACCUCGCCGCUCGCCUACGCGGGGACCGGGGAAGGAGGGCUGCGCCCGGAGGCUCCCCCCGCAGGGUCUGCCAGACAAAGGGGGCCCUGCUCCUGCCUUAG